rnacentral:rRNA from 1 species
AUGGCCGAGAUGGCCAUGAGGCUGAAGAACGCUGCUGACCAUUGCAAGCUUCUUGAAAAAGAAGAUCGGGCGGAACGGACGGACCUGAAGAAGGCCGUUGCCGAUGCCAAGGAUGCUCGCUCUGCGAUGAGAGCUAUGAAGGAGGAGCUGCGUCAGGCCGGAGAGAUCGCGGCUGGAAAGCCCUUUAUGCUGCGGAGGAAGUUCUGUGAUCCUAAACAUGCUCUGUUAGACCAGAUGUGGAGUACGGCGGACACCUAUCUGGAUUUAGCAGCGAGUGCCGCAGAUGCGGCCGAACACUUCCAAUAUCAAGAAGAUCGCGAACUGGAAAAGCUCUUCUGGUCGCAGUUCCACAAUCCAGAGAGUCCACUGUCAUUAGCUGAUCGUUUGGCCGAAUGGGCCGAGCUAAAUAGGUUGUCCGGACUCGCCAUGAAGUAUGUCAUGAAUCAUCUGUGGCCAGAGAGGCCAGAGUCGAAAAGUUAUUUCAACUUGGUGCAGCAGUUCCUUGGUGCGGCACCGCAUAUCAAUGCGAUGAAGAGGUCAGCCUGCAUAGAGGGUGCGUGGAUGGAUCUUGCCCGUGUCAAGACAUACUGGUCGGAAAUGGAAGCCACCGCUGUUGCAUCCCCAGACUCGGAUGGAAGCCGAGUACCUGCCGAGCGCUAUUUUUAG